GAGAGGUGUUCUCUGAGUCCCCUCUUAGGGAGGCAGAGUUCAGGAGUCCAUCCAGUCUCUCCCAGGAGUUUUGCCAUGCACAGCUCACCACGACCUCUUCUGCUGUCCUCUGCUCUUGGACCGUUUGUUUAUCCUUCCUCUGAGGCGAAGGGAUCCUGCUGUAAUUAGCUGAUUAAUUGGGCAGAGGCCCAUUCUAUCCCAGAAACAAUAAAACCGAGCUAAACAUGCAUGGCUUUUUCUCCCACUCUCCCUGCCCUUCUCUCAGAGACUCAAGGCAGUUUAAUCCAGCUCACUUUGCUCUUCCAGAAGAUUUCAGGACGAAGAAGCUCUAGCUGCCUCCCAUAAGGGGUGAUCCUGGACCUAAGGGGUGAUCCCCUCCUGCACUAGUUACAUCUGAUUGAGACUGAUUCCCCGGUGGUGACUCCUGUUUGCUCUGUUGUCUCUAUAGGACACCUCACUCACAAGAAUGCCAGCUUCAUUACACUGGAGGACAUGGGUUGUUACUGUACAUGGCUUGAAGGGAUGAUGGGGCAUGAGGAUGAGCAUGUAAGGAGUGCAGGAGCAAGCAUCAUGCAUGUACUGCAACAAACCUUAGAAGAUCACAGCAAAGGGAGACUCCACCGGGUCAAGAAGCGGAUGAUCCGGCGUGUGAGGAAACAGAGAUGCCCCCAGGACUUCAGGCACUGAAUGCCUGGGCUUGAAGGGAUGGCCGAGCAUGAAGAUGAAGAGGUGUAGGAGCAAGCAGCAUUUGUGUAGUGCAUGGAGCCUUUAAUGACCACGCAAAAGGAAGAGUCCACAAACUAAAGAAGAGGUUCAUCCUUCGUGUGAGGAAAGAGAUAUUCCCCCAAGACUUCAAGCACUGAAUGCCUGGGCUUGAAGGGAUGGCCGAGCAUGAAGAUGAAGAGGUGUAGGAGCAAGCAGCAUUUGUGUAGUGCAGGGAGCCUUUAAUGACCACGCAAAAGGAAGAGUCCACAAACUAGAGGUUCAUCCUUCGUGUGAGAAAGGAAAGAUGCCCCCAAGACUUCAAGCACUGAAUGCCUGGGCUUGAAGGGAUGAUGGGGCAUGAGGAUGAGCAUGUAAGGAGUGCAGGAGCAAGCACCAUGCAUGUACUGCAACAAGCCUUAGAAGAUCACGGCAAAGGGAGACUCCACCGGGUCAAGAAGCGGAUGUUCCGGCGUGUGAGGAAACAGAGAUGCUCCCAAGACUUCAGGCACUGAAUGCCUGGUGACUGAGGAACCACCAUUGUGGCACAACUCCACUGUCCCUGGGGCCUGUGAGGGAAACUUUCCAAUGACCUGUGGCCUGUGUGAAUUAAUGGGAAGUGGGCAAUCUAGUGGCUGUCCCCCACCCCCAUUAUUCCCUCUCCUACUACCAACUUGCCCAUGUCUUGGCACAGCUUUUUUGCCCUUUGAAGUCUAAAGAAAUACAUCCCACUGGUGUUGGGGUGGGUGGAAGGGUAGUCAUCUGUGCAUCUUUGGCCAGCUGAUCGAUUCUUUCUUGCUCCCUCAGGGCUUGAAGGGAUGUCCGAGCAUGAAGAUGAAGAGGUGUAGGAGCAAGCAGCAUUUGUGUAGUGCAGGGAGCCUUUAAUGACCACGCAAAAGGAAGAGUCCACAAACUAGAGGUUCAUCCUUCGUGUGAGAAAGGAAAGAUGCCCCCAAGACUUCAAGCACUGAAUGCCUGGGCUUGAAGGGAUGAUGAGGCAUGAGGUUGAGCAGGUAAGGAGUGCAGGAGCAAGCACCAUGCGUGUCCUGCAGCAAGCCUUUAAUGAUCACACCAAAGGGAGACUCCACCGGGUAAAUAAAGAGAUGAUCCGGCGUGUGAGGAAAGAGAGAUGCACCCAAGACUUCAGGCACUGAAUGCCUGGUGAGCUAGGAACACCUCUGAAGGUUCAGUCAUUAAGGUAUUAUUUCAUUUCUCUUUGUCCCACCAUUCUAGCACAACUCCACAACACAGAGAUUAAAAAUUAAUCAGCAGCAGAAAAACUAGCAGAUAAACUGUUUCAGAAAAGGAGGAUUUUCACAGCCACCUCGAAGGUUGUGAAAGAGGAGGCUUGGCAGUUUUUCCCAGGGAGGGCAUUCAAUAGCUGCAGUAUCAUGACUGAAAAAGGCCUGUCCCCAGAGCUUUGAGAAUAUAAAAUGGACUCUAGCCUGGAUCGUCAUUCUAUAGCCUUCCAAGUGUUCUGGCUCUAUUAGAAAAAUCACAUUUUCAAAUGCCCAUUAUGGACAAAACUAAUAUUCCUGCUUUUUUGUUUAAAAAAAACAUCAGCUAUGUCCCCUCCCCCUUUUAUUCAACAGAAUUGCCUUGACUUGCUCCAGCCUUGUCUAAUUGUUGACUAGACUUGCUCCAGUUCCCAUUGUUGACCCUACUCUCUGGUAGUCCUCUUCAGUUGUUCAGUGGUGAGAAGGCAUUCUGCACAUGCUCAGAAGUAAUUUCCUUCCCAUGUUUGAGAACUCAGCCCUAGUACUGAAAACAAACUAGUGCUCUGAGCCCUAGUGAAUCCUAGGCACAAAUUAAAUUGAGGGAGGAAGGAAAGCAUGGAUGAUGGAAGCCUGCCCAUAGGAAGGUCAAGAACUGAGGAGGGAGAAAGAGCCUAAUUUUGUGAAGCACUGCUAGGAUGAGGAGGAUCAAUAAAACAAAAAGAAUUGUUGUGUGUAAUGGAACGGCAAUAGGGUUAGUGAUUCUGAAGAGAAAGGUGUUUGGGUCUGAAUCUCUCUGGGAGAGAUGUCUUCAUCACUUCAUCACCCCACUUCCUAAUUCUGGAGGAAUUAUGGGGAGGAAGCAACUGAAACCUGUCCGCAUAUUCUGCAAGGCCCUCUGCUGUUACUGAUUGUCCUUAACCAUAAGAAGGCAGGGCUUCCCGUGUAGCCUAUGGGUCAACUCUCUGCUGUUCACCUCUGUAGUCCUCUGCUUGUGUGCACAUUUAGCUUCUGCUUCCUGGCUGAGGCCCAUUUGAGCAUGUAUUUUCUGCCAGGUGAUGUUGCUGGGCUAAAGGGCUCCAUCUCUAGCACUACGUACUUAUGCACAGGCAUGUCUCCAUUUUCAUCUGUAAAAUGUGGAGAGGUACUUGGAUCUGACACCAUGCCACCACUACGGCACUGGCCUACACCCUCCUUUUUAUCAGCUUCCAUCUCUCCUGGAGGCUGGUGGGGAGUAGAGAAGAAAUGGCAAGUUUUGCUACAUCGCAAUGUGUGAUGUAGCGACUUCCAAAGGAUUUGGGCUCAGUUUGAGCUUCAUCCCACAUCAUCUUGGUUGAUUAGUUAGUCCAUACUGCACUUUGUAUAUGUUCCCUUUAGGAGGAAAAGGAUUAGUUGCAAUCAUUGAGUAUGUGGAAGGUGAAGAGUUGUCCUAACUCGCUUGAGAGUAAUGUUUGUCCUCUCGGUGUUGUCUUUGGGGAGAUUAGGUAAAGAGAAAGCCGUUGGAAAUGUAUUGAAUUUUGCCCAGCUGAGACUUAAGUAAAAAGAUAGGCAAGAUAUUGUAUUGUGAAAUAUGCAACCAGAUUUGGGGCCAUAAAGAAGUCUCUUCUUCCUUUGACACUGAUGAAGAAGAUUUUUGUUUCAGUGUUUUUAGGGGGUUCUGACUGUACUGAGCUCAUUGUUUUGUGGACCUCUGAUUGCUAAGUGGGAGACAUUGUUGGAGAUUUUAAAGCUAUUCUUUAGAGAGAGGCUCUCAGCCUUAGUUCUGUAUUACAUCUUGUUGCUUGGAGAAUCAAUUGCAAAUUCCACGUGAAUUGGCACAGUGGUCCUCCCCAAGGUUUUCUUCACACUCAUUAAUGAAUUUAAAUGUGUUCAAAUGAACUCCACUCUCAGUAUUUAACAAAACCAAUAAAAUUAGGUAGGUUAAUUUCACCAAAAGAUAACACUGUGUAUCUCUUUUGUAGAAGGAAUUGCAAUGUAAGAGGCGAGGGAUUCCAGUUAUUCUUUCAGCAGUGGUCUUGGAAGUAAUGAAGAGGAGACACUUCAAUUGCUAUGCCUUCACCAUCACGCCCACUGAACAAGGGCAGUAUUGAAACAACAUCUCAAGGACCUACUGGGGUAUCCUGGGUGUUGGUCCGCACAGGCAUAGUACCCAUCUGUGAGGAUGCCCAGAGGAUUUCUGUUUUCCUCCCCUGGUUUUCUGUUGUUUUACCUCAGUCUCCUCACCUCCAUCCAGACCAGCUGCAAAAACCUUUUCACCUGUCUUCUCACUCUGACCUUAAGAUUCCCCUCUUUAAAUCCCCGCAUUGGCUUUCUGCCCAUUCCUUGAUCCUGCACAUGUCUCUUAUUUCUGCCUACAACCGCCCCCCCAUGGCCUUGUCCCCCACCCCCGCCCCACCUUAUUUAUCAACUGUCAUAUACCAUAUUACUUGAAUCCAAGACUAGGGUUUUUUCAAGCUCGUUGAUAUUAGAAAUCCAGGGAUAGUCUUAAAUUCAAAGUUGUUCUAUAUUCAGUACUUACACUUUCUCAAUACUGUACUUACACACCCUUGCCUGUGACCUUUCCUCAUUGAGCUCUACCACCCUCAGACCCAUCAAACAACUCCAUCCUUUCUCCCUUGUGCCUAGAAUUGCCAUGUCUCUCAUAUCCUUUAAACCCCUCUUCAGAAGCAAGCCGCUCGCCCCCCCACAUCGGCAGCACAGCUGUUUUGCCCCAGCCCAUCCCCUUGGAGCACGGGGGGCCUGGGAGCUGGCUCCCAUUGGCCCGGGGUGCUUCCGGGGCCAGAAGUGCCAAGCUGGCAGCGUACCUGCACCGGCACUCAGUCCGCCUCUUGUGCUGAAGAGGUCAGAUGUGCCGGGCAGGAGUACGUGGCCUGGCCCUAAGAGCAGCUCAGCGGGGGGCAGCAAGUGGAGAGUUCGGGCUUCAAGGCCCGCCUGCUUCUUUGUCUCGCCUGGCACUCUCGGGGUGCCAGGGCGGUGGGACCCUGUGCGGUAUGCUCUGGCUGCCAUUUUCGGCUGCGGAGUGCAUGGCCGGCCUGCGGGAGGCCCGCCCACAUUUUGAACUUGCCCAGAGCUCUCAGAGCACUCGGAUGUGCUGGGUUGGAGCAUGUGGCCUGGCCCUAGGAGUGGCCCGGUGGGGGCAGGGGGCACAGCAGAGAGUUCGGGCUUUGAGGCCCGCCGACCUUUGUUGUUCGCCCACGUGGUAGUAAUGAGGGCCUGGGCACCUUAGCCCCCCUUCUUCUCCACCUCCUUUUUGCUAUUCCGCCUGCCUGGGGGCUGUAAAGGAGGGCCCAGGCUAUUGAGCCUGCCCCCCCCUUUUUCUUCAUUGACCAACCGGAGGAUGCCAGGAGCAGCAUCGGUCGGCACAGCAGGCAGGGUUCGACCCAGCCCAGGUUUGGAGGAUGUGGAUAGGGGUGGGGGCAGGCCGGGAUAAGGUCAGGGGAGCGGGCAGGUGACUAGCCAAGCUAUGGCCUUUUGUAUCCCUUAACACCCCACCCCACCCCGCCCCUCCAGUUGUCCCUGGUUAACUUGGGAGGCGAGUAAGGAGGGUGGCCAUCCGGUGGCCUGGUCCUGUGUAGCCACCGCCACAAAGCAAGUGUGGGCCCCGCACGUGUAUGCCCCAACCCUCCCCCCCACACAGCGGUUCAGGAAGCACCCACGGCCAUGGGCCCCAAAAAGGCACCUGAGAAGAUGCCCGAGGGGCUGUGGAAUCCUGGAGUGUAAAGGUGCUCAGGGCAAUUGAGGCCUAGGACAUGGGUGGCCUAUGACAGGAGAGUUAAGGCCUUCCAACGCUUUAGGUCACAGGUAGGGAUUGACCAGGAAUGGCCGGCCCUGCCUGAGCACCUGAUGUGGUACCUGGUACACCUCCAGGCAGAUGGGCUGGCGGUGAGCACCAUGGCCGGGCAUUUGGCGGCACUGGCAUUCUACGGGAAGGCCAGGGAGCUCCCUGACCACUUAAGUGAUUUUAGAGUCCGGCACAUGCUGGAGGGCUGGGCCAGGGAGACACCGGCCCAGCCGGAUCAGCGCCGGCCCAUUUCGCCUGAAGUGCUGCAGCAUGCCAUGCAGCGCCUCAGGGGUGUGUGCUCCUCCCCUUAUGAGGAGGCAUUGUUCUGAGCGGUGGCACUGGUAACCUUCUAUGGGGCCUUCAGGGUUGGGGAGUUGUUCCCUAGGGGAGAGCGCAGCCUGGUGGGAAGGGUCCUGCAGAAGCGUGACCUGGCUGUGGGGCCAGCCUCGGUAAUGCUGCGGCUCUGCUUCUCUAAGAUGGACCAGCGCGGCAAGGGGCAGCUGGUCACCUUCCACAGGUCCACUGACCAUCGCAUGUGCCCGGUGCAGGCUCUGGGAGACUAUAUGGCGGUGAGAGGUGAGGCGGAAGGAUGCCUCUUUGUGCAUGCCAACGGAGGCCAUUUGUCUCAGUACCAUUUCUGGGCGUUGAUGAGGAGAUCCUUCAGAGUGGCCGGCAUGUCCAUGUGCCACUUAGCACCACACUCCUUCAGAAUCAGGGCAGCAUCAUCAUCAGCAGGUUUGGGCUACUCGGCCAUUCAGAGGUUGGGCCGUUGGCGGUCCGCAGUCUACCACAAGUAUGUGAGUUGAGGGGGGGGGGUGUUCCCACACCUCCCCACCUCCCUAUACCUGCAACCCCCCAUCCCCUCUACACAGGGGCGAAGCCUCCGGCGAAGCGGGCCAGAGUCUUCGUCUUGGGCCACUCCUUUGUAUUUUGGGCCCUCAAGUGGGCGCAAGGCACAGAUCCAGGAACGCAAUUGGGCCUGGGGCGAUGGGCCUCCAUCGAGUGGCGCAGGUGGAGUGGUAUGCCAAGGGCCCACUUGCUGCCAAUGUUGCGGGAGUACCUGGAGGAGAAUACAACACCGGAUAUCCUGCUCCUGCAUUUCGGGGAGAACGAUCUAGUGAGUCAGUCAGGAAUUUCACUGUCCCAACAGACCACGCGGGAUCUGGGGAUGGUUAUGGUUUUCGCUUGGUGCCCAGGUGUGGUCCUUGUUUGGUCUGACAUCACACAGCUCAGGUGUGGAAGGGGACACUCAAGCAGAACAAGGUGGACAGGGCUAGGCGAGGUGUUAAUGCAGCAAUGGCUCACUUCUUGGCCUCUAGGGGCGGGGGAUGUAUUCCGCAUGAUGACAUCGUAUUUUCACAGCCCGCCCUUUAUCAGGGUGACAGGGUCCACCUAUCAGCCAUGGGCAUGAGGCUUUUCAUCUAUGAUUUGAGGCUGGGAUUGGCAGGGGUGAUACUGGGCCUGUGGGGUGCGGGACAUUAAGCUAGACUAACGCCCACUAUGGCAGCUACAGUGUGGUGGGGAACAGCUAAGUAAGGGUGUGGCACCUUAGGUAAGUUUUUAAGUCGAGGAGGAGCGGAUCCCUUGAGGCUUAACAGAUCAGGGAUGCUGCUUAGCUCCUAUCUCUCUGCAGGCGACAUCCUUUCCGUAUGGCUGUGCAACAUCGGAGGGGUGGUGUUUGAUAGUGGAAAUCUGACCUAAGGUCGGUGAAAAAGGGCACAUCCAUCUUAGAGCGGAGGAGCAGCCUGGAGCCAAGGUGCUAUCGCCACGGGCAUUUAGAACUGAGAUGUCGAUCUGAAAGUGGAUUUGACUUCAGAGAGUGAAGAAACUGACUCUUUAUAACCAUCUAAAAGAGUCAAAACCGAUGAAGAAAAUUAUACUAAAACUAAAAAGAAGAACUGCCCAAAAGAUGGGCGCCCGCCUUCUUCCCCUUCUUUGUCAACAGGCUCAACAUCGGUUUUGUUAACAAGUACAUUGGCUGCAAUUCUCCCUCAAUGGGGGAGUGUAUCUGGUGAUGCUGGGUUGCUCCCCCACCUGCUCCAAGACAGGGUCAAUCAGGAAACAACUUCACCUGGUGAGCUGAGGAGAUACCCCAUCAGACCCAGUUUUUGCCCUGUCUCACUCCAGUACAGGUGCUUAUUUGGUUUGGUGCUAAACUACCUAUUUGCUAUUGUCAGUCUUCCCCCCUUCGUGCUUUUUCAAGACGGCUACGGUGUCUCAGAAGGACUCGCAGAACAUCAAGUCCUCGCGGGUGUGGCCUUCCAGCUCCAACCCCUCUGACACUGCAGUCCCAACUCUGUUGGAUGACCAGACAGGCUAGGGCAGGGUAGAUUAUGGAUGGAGGAGUAGGACAAGGGGCCUCCAUAGGGAGGGAGGGAGCCAGGUGGUGGGCAAAGUGCCGCCUGGAGGAGGCUGGGGGAGGCCACUGGAAAGUUUUACUCUCCCUUGUUGGAAAAAUCCUUCUUGGGACUUCUUUUGCUGUUGACUGUUUUUUAGUGAACUGUUUGCCCCCACUCAAGUUUGUCUCUUUUGUUUUGUCUGCUUAUCAGCUCAGUGGAAUUUCUGUAGAUUACAACUUCAGCUUGUUUUUCUACAGGAAGAAACUAGAACAUUACUAAUUUUUCUCGUUUGAACACUUUUAAGUGCUUUGUGAAAAGUGUUUAAAUCAAGCAUAAUUCAGGGAUGGUAAAGGGAUUCCGUUUAAUUUGAGGAUUUGCUCCUGUGGAAUGGGUGCCGUAGAAACUACCCCUCAUGUUAUUUUAUAUUGUAAAUUUUAUAGCGAUGCUCGUUUAAAACUAAUUACUCCUCUUUUGGGGAAGUUUCCAGGUCACUCUGAUGCAUUUUAUUUAGAGUUUUUGUUAUCUAACUUUUGAGAGAUCACUUUCAAUGUGGCUAGGUUUUGCUACAUUGUAUUAUGCGCUCUAGUCUUAUGUAAUGUUUUUUGUUGUACAAUAAUAAAGUUUAUCUAUCAAUCUAUCCUGUAAUACAAUCAUUAACAAUGCAUUAAAUAGGGAUUCGGAUCCCAAAGGUAAACAGCCUGUUUAUCAUUUGCCUAUUCUUGAAUAAAGAACUACAAAUCAGAAAUUAUUUUAACAUGUUUAACAUUCCUUUAAAUAAUAACCAAAUUAAUCAGUUUUCAAACAUAAGGAGAGACUUAAUGUGGGAGAAUCAAGACUAGAGAUCAAGGUUUUUGUCUGUUGGUUUGUUUUUACCUUUUUUCUACAGGUUAUUACUAUGGAGAUUAAUGAGUUUUUUUAAUAAGAAGCCCAGGCUUAAGAAUUUAGCAUCAUUUCCUGGACAAGAGAUGAUCAAAAGUAACUCUUGGGGUCAGAAAUUAUCUUGCGAGUAAAUAACUUUGGCUUUAGUAUUUAUUUGCAGUCUUUGACCAAAUGAAGUGAGUAAAUAUUAGCUAUAGAUAUAUUGUUCAUUGCAAGAAAAUGAAGAUAUAUGCUGAGGGAAAAUUAUUGGUACUAUCUCUUGGGUGGGAAAAGAUUAAAUUCAAUCUAGUUGGCUUUUUCUAAAUACGCUAAGACUCUAACAGACUCCAAUAGAUACAUAAAUUUAUAACUAGCAUUGAGAGAACCAUAAUAGCAAUUAAUAUCCAUAUUUCUUUAAUUAAGUAUUGAAUAUAUAGAUAUAGAUAUAGAUAUUGUAAUAAUUACUUAAGUAUACACUCUUUGCUAUCUGAUUAUUUACAAUUAUUAUUGUUGCUUUUUUACUCUUUUUGA